rnacentral:sRNA from 1 species
UUAUUGUAUACCCCCUCGCGGGUUUUUUUUAUAAUCUGAGCCUUCUCGGCGCCUCUCGUAGGCGUUUCGAAAAUGAAUCAAAACUUUCAACAACGGAUCUCUUGGUUCUGGCAUCGAUGAAGAACGCAGCGAAAUGCGAUAAGUAAUGUGAAUUGCAGAAUUCAGUGAAUCAUCGAAUCUUUGAACGCACAUUGCGCCCGCCAGUAUUCUGGCGGGCAUGCCUGUCCGAGCGUCAUUUCAACCCUCGAACCCCUCCGGGGGGUCGGCGUUGGGGAUCGGCCCUCCCUCUGCGGGUGGCCGUCUCCGAAAUACAGUGGCGGUCUCGCCGCAGCCUCUCCUGCGCAGUAGUUUGCACACUCGCAUCGGGAGCGCGGCGCGUCCACAGCCGUUAAACACCCAACUUCUGAAAUGUUGACCUCGGAUCAGGUAGGAAUACCCGCUGAACUUAAGCAUAUCAAUAAGCGGAGGAAAAGAAACCAACAGGGAUUGCCCCAGUAACGGCGAGUGAAGCGGCAACAGCUCAAAUUUGAAAUCUGGUCCCUAGGGCCCGAGUUGUAAUUUGUAGAGGAUGCUUUUGGUGAGGUGCCGCCCGAGUUCCCUGGAACGGGACGCCACAGAGGGUGAGAGCCCCGUCUGGCUGGCCGCCGAGCCUCUGUAAAGCUCCUUCGACGAGUCGAGUAGUUUGGGAAUGCUGCUCAAAAUGGGAGGUAUAUGUCUUCUAAAGCUAAAUAUUGGCCAGAGACCGAUAGCGCACAAGUAGAGUGAUCGAAAGAUGAAAAGCACCUUGAAAAGAGGGUUAAAUAGUACGUGAAAUUGUUGAAAGGGAAGCGCUUGUGACCAGACUUGGGCGCGGCGGAUCAUCCGGGGUUCUCUCCGGUGCACUUCGCCGCGUCUAGGCCAGCAUCAGUUCGUCGCGGGGGGAAAAAGGCUUCGGGAACGUGGCUCCUUCCGGGAGUGUUAUAGCCCGUUGCUUAAUACCCUGGCGGUGGACUGAGGACCGC